UACGGGGGGGGUAAGCGUUGUUCGGAAUUACUGGGCGUAAAGGGCUCGUAGGCGGCCCACUAAGUCCGACGUGAAAUCCCUCAGCUUAACUGGGGAACUGCGUCUGAUACUGGAUGGCUUGGAUUUGGGAGAGGGAUGCGGAAUUCCAGGUGUAGCGGUGAAAUGCGUAGAUAUCUGGAGGAACACCGGUGGCGAAGGCGGCAUCCUGGACCAAUAUUGACGCUGAGGAGCGAAAGCCAGGGGAGCAAACGGG
rnacentral:rRNA from 1 species